rfam:Octopus bimaculoides Scaffold93418_contig_41, whole genome shotgun sequence.
ACUUGCUUCGAAUCUAUAUUUAGAAAAUUUCGAACGAUACAUAGAGGAUAUAGCGGGUCUGCACAAAGAUGAUACACAAAUUUCAAGAAGUGUUUCCUAUUUUU